AUAAAUCAUUAGAGAUAGAGAAGAGAGUGGGACAAAGAAAUUAUGACAAAUUGGAAUGUGAGAAUAAUGUAGGUCCGUUCAAAGGAAUUGAGGGUAGGAGAAAGAAUGUGGAUGAGAAAAAAUAGUAACGAAGGAAGAAAAAAGUAAGAAGAAAGGAUGGCAAUAGCAAUUCUCUAGUGAGUAAAUGCCGUUUGCUGGCUAACGACACACAAUGCUGUUUUCUGCCAGGCUGUGAGUGACCUUUCCACGCGAUGUGAAGGCAGACUUCCACGGAGCAUCCUCCGUCGCUCAACCUAUACUUUACUCUUGAGUUACCUAAGAUACUUUACUUUCUACAUUCCUCCCCGAGGAGACAAUACCCGCGCAUGCACCUACUGUAUGUACUAGCCUACGUACAUGCAUGCAUACUUGGUACCAGUGGUUGAACCUGUGGUAUGGCGUAGGUGGAAGUCACGUUUGAAACUGACUGUAGAAUCAGUAUAGGUAUCGAAUGAGAAUCCUUGUUCCUUGCAAUAGAAAUUCCUAUUGGAUUUGGUAUUGGCAACUGUAGGAGGUAUCCGUGACGGUAUUACCAUUUACAUUUUUGCGUCAUUCGUGACUCCAGGGUAUUCUCAAGACAGUUUACUUAUGUUUGGUACCACUUGGCCUAGAGUUCAUAAUAAUAUUUUUGUCUUACGUGGGCUAGACGUCGCGGUGAAAAACAUUUCCGAUCAUUAUCGUUUUAGUACCGUUAACGUGACUUUAGAGAGCAUUUAGUGUUUCUUGGAAAUAAUUGGACUACGUGAUUUUAAUGAAAAUUCUCUGUGGUCGCAUUGCCGGAUAUCUAAGCGUGCAUGGUUGCGUAUAGGGGAACUCUAGGGAAGCAUGAGGAAGCGUAAGAGAAUCGUUACGGUUUACUGUUGCGUGGUUACAACCCAACGUGUGGUAAUGAUGAUAAAAAGUCAGAGAAAAAAGUACAAAAUAAGAGGAUUAUGAUUGAUCAGGUUUUUGCACUGAUCCAGGUCACGCCUAGUGCCUUAGAUAUUUAUGUAUCUGCCAUGGGUUCUGUAUUGGAGCAAGGAAUCACAUUCGAGAUGAGUUAUUAAAUGACAUAUAGUAUAAACGGUAGCUUGCCUACAUAAGCGCCGAGAGUCAACGUCAAUUUAUUCUAUAAAUAAUACAUUACGAAAAGAGUAGGGUGUGCCUUGAAACAGCUUAAUCGUAAACAGAUCUAUAGAUGUAUCUGUAAACGUCUGGAUUGAUAAUGUAAAAAUGGGAAUUCCAUUGCAGUAAGGAAAUGAUUUAGAAAAUUGUAUGACCUUGCACUGCCAUGCCUUUCCUAUGGAAAUACCAGAGACAGCCAAUAACCUAGAGUUUUUCAAUCGUUCAGUCAAUCAGAACUGAUAUUAAAGAUCGACUCAGAGUUCUUGAUUAGUUAGAAAUUAAAUGUGGAAUUAAUAAUGCUCUACUCGCGUUACGUUACUGCUAUUAAAAACAAGCCAUUAGGCUCGUUAUUAAUAUAAGCAAUGAUUAUUCUGGCACGGUAUAUUUUUCCGGAUAAAUACUCUACUGGUUUUAUUCAUUAUUCUACGUCGCGCACUGUCGGCCUUUCUUUCUCGUUUGACUUCUUGUUGCGGCUAUUUUCCUCUUCUUAUUGUAAAGCGUACCACGGCAUGUCAUGCAUUUUAUAAAGGUGACCGUUUCUUGUCGUGUUUUAUGUAACCGUCUGUAACCCAGUUGGUGUCUGAGCAGACCAGGCCGAUGCACUACUCGCAAUUCCGUUCUCCUUUGGUCAGGUCCUUAAGUACAGUGCUGAGAGGAUCAUCAUGAUUUUCCUUCGACUUGGGACUCGGGUCGUUUCGAGCCUUGAAUGGUUAUUGAGAGCCACUUGGACUUUUCGUAAUGGCCCAGUGAUUAUACACAUUCCAAUUAAGUAAUAAUACAUGAGAAAUUUCAAGUAGUCACGUGGAGAACGUCCAGUGCCUUUCUCUAUGUCUACUAACUUACCUCCCUGGGCCAAAUAAAGCUUGCACUGCUACCAAUGUAGCACAAUAAACCAAGUCAAACACAUUUCAAAGUCAGUUCAUUCAAUCUGGUUAUAGAUUGGACCGGCUCUUUUUAAAAUUUGCCAUUGGCAAUCCUGAGAGUAGAGUGUAUCUAAUAAUCUGAAUUAUAAGAUAGUGAAUAAUUUAGUAAUACACAUAAGAGUAAGACCUCAUUCGAUGAACACUCACCACUUGGGAAGACGAUUUCUUUAAAGAUCCACAAGGAGAAAGAUGAUUUGGGUCCACAUCUGCUCUUGCGAAAGUAGACUGGCCCACUUGGAACCCCCUUAAGGCCCUGGUUACACAUCGUGUAGGAUCAAAGGGGGAAAAAAUGGCAAUGUUGUCUGUAAGGUGAGCUGAGAAUUUUUCUUUGAAAUACUUCUAUACGACUGUGUCUUGUUUACUAGAAUUUUUUUUCAUUUUUUCUUUUAGCUCUUUGACUUUUCAUGACCCAUCUGCUCAGACGAGAGAGUCCGAACUUCUUGGUCCAUACAUUGGGUCGGUUUGAUUAGAAAGUGGAACAGACUUGCAGUGGCAUGAGCUCGUGCUUCAGGGCCCUGGGGGCCUUGCCAACCAACACUUACAUAAGUCCCAACUCUCUGGUGUAUCGGUAGCGAGAGUCCUGUAUGCAUAUACAUUCAGACAUCUCUCUCAGGUGCAUGUGCAGCGUGUAAUGAAACGCACAAGGAGGGCACGAGCCAACGACAUUCCUUGGCUACUGCAAACUUCAUGGUUAUGAGUAUAAGCAGCAUGGCUUUACAGUACUUUGCGUUACCUUACUUUGCAUUGCUUUGCAUCGCGGGUAGAACAGAAAAAUCAAUGUAAAGAAAGAGCUGGUCGUGAGGAUUGAAAAGAAGCACAAGCGUAAAGACACGUACAACAACAGAGUGGUUCUCCGAGUCGAGUCAUCUUCAGGAAAUGAUGUACCGGUUGAAUGGGACUCAUAACGAUCACCGUGGAAGUAUUUAAUACUUGGAGAUGAGGGUAACUCGUCGAAUUAAUAUGAUCUCAAGAGAUUAACCGGAUCUGGUGUUUGUGGGAUAACCAGGAUGACGCAAUGGAGUCGUAAGGAAGAGAUGAAAGAUACAAAAUUACAGAAAUCAACACGUAUCGAUUAUCACCAAGACAACAGGAUGAUCCGUCAUAAGAUCUUAUGAUAUUGAAGAGUUAAUUGUGUAUAUAUUUAAGUCCCACAUUGGUACACAUUCUCUUGGAGAACUCGUCGACCAUGUACGUCAACUUCUGGUGGUACCUGGUGGAACAUUCUUAUGCGCGCGACCAGUUUACGGGUGCGGAAUUAUUUAAUAGCUAUAACACUGUGGCGCGACUAAGCGACCAAGCAAGCUUAAGCGAAAUGAAAGUCGCGACCAAUAGAGAGAACGACCUUGCGUCGCGACGCGUCGUUAUAGUCUGUCUAGGUAGAAACAAGAGUCAAAGAGCCAGAAAAAGUCAUUUCGAUUUCAUGUGCUGAGACUCACUCCCAAGUCCCAAAGCAAUACGUUGGAAACGGGGCACGUCGUUAUUCGUGCCUGGAAUAAUAUUGUUUCGCACGAGCAGAGACAGGGCUGCCAAUUCGUGACGAUGAAUCAUGGUGAAAUGAUGAAAAUAUGAAUUUUACAAUACCAAGGGAAAGACAAAAAGUCAGGGUACGCGUACCGAGUACAAGGCACCAGCAGGAACUUGUGGGAAGCACAGAAGGAGCGGCCUUGAGGAAAUCAUUUCCACCGUUCCGCUCGAAAUGUCAACGAUGCAGAUCGUCAACUUUAUAUUCUCCGCUGAUAUUCUCGAUUAGAAAUUGUUGCCCUGGUGCGAAUUCAACUAAGAUUUCUUAGCACGUUGAGCAACUGACGUAUUUUGGAACACGUAUAUUUUUUUUAGAUGAAGAAUCAAGGUACGGCCGGAUGCCGUAUCGAUGACGGGAAUAUUUAUCACAUUUUAAGAAUCCUUUCAACAAGCACCGGAAGUGGCAGUUCGUAGGAUUAAAAACCUUCCAGGUCAAAGGUCCUUCGAUUUCACUUCCUGGAUCAGGACAAUCCGGGGUCUUUAUGCCUGACAGAAAACUCCAGGACCUGGGUCCAUCAGUCUAUGUUUGAAUCUGGUAUCCUAGUCCAGAUAUUCUCUUGCUGGAAGUCAUUGCUCACAAGUAUGGACAAUGGUUGGGACUUUUCUUCUGUUUAGUUGGGACCGUCAUUUGCCGUACCUCUGUUACAAAUGUUCUGUACCCAAGAAGAAGGUCCUUGGUACCGUUCAGUCUUAAGUAUUGAAACGUCUCUGAGAAGUGACCAUACGGAGAGCCAUUUGUACAACCGUGACAAAAAGCAUAUGGCGGAUUCUAAUAGUGAAAUGCUACAUGAGGCGAGUACCAUUCAAAAUCUAUAUACAGACAUGCGUGCAUCGAUACUAGACAGAUGAUCUAGAAUUCAGAGAAACGCAAGUGACCUUUUCGAAAUCCAACUUGAGCACCAAGAGCCAUUAAGCCUCAAGGAAAAUGCAAAGACUAACUGGGCCCCAGGGAGUUGAUACGUCACCAAAAAAAAAGUCUAGAGCUCAAAAUGAGGCGUGGCCACUACAUACCAUAUUGCAAGAACUUCCAUGAGAUUGUUUAAAAUGAAUAAAAAGAUAAGAAUACUGUUUUGGGCCUUAGUCAGUCCAUGCACAAGUUCCUGCUAUUUUCCAGACACCAAAGGGCGAACAGGGAAUGGUCGCAAGGCUCGUAACUGGCCCCGCCGUGCAUACCGGUAAUACCAAUCGGACAUUGCCAGUAUAAGUGAAAGUGUCGCUGGCUCGUUUUGCUUACACGUCGUUGCUUAGAAAUCCACCAGUACUGGUUAGAUAUACCUACGCUGAUCUGGUCGUAUCAUUGAACACGACCAUGUAGGCGCGUGUCUACCACAAACACUUGAGUUUCCCUGUACCAGUUUGUGUAUAGAAGACUUGUAGACGUUUCUUAAGCUGGUUGCCUGGUUCCUUUUUUUAUCAACAUCCAUACUACAGUCUACCUGGAAAUUGGUCAUGCAGUGCUACCACCUUAUAUGUCUAAUACAAGUACGAUAACGUCCGUGAAAUCAAUUUUGCUUCACUCCUAUGCGGGCUUGACUGAUAGCCAGCCAUGGACACUUGGAUGCGAUGUAUUAUAGACUUAUUAAAAAAAAAAAGGAAGGUCUAGUUUAAAAGAAAUAAAUAAAAGGAAACAAAAAGGCGCUGCCGACUCUUUUCAUGGGAACGAUUGCACCAAGUGUGGAUCCUUGGCACUAAGGAUACUUGAUACGACGCUGCGCCAUUGGGAUGGAUAUUUAAUACUCAUACCAGUACUAAUUUAAUAAGUCACCCAAAGUACAGUCUGAGUACUCAUCUUCAGACUGAUCGUUACCUGUAUUAUUACUGAUGCUGAGCAUGAGCCGAAUUCGAAUGGUGUCGAUUAGGAUAAUUAGGUCGCACUAGAGUGGAAUCGAGGUCGAUAGCUCUUCAAGGUCAUGUCCUCGAAUACGACAUAAUUCCUAAAAAUAACGACGGUCAUCAUCACUGGGAGUGGAUUUUGAAAGCUCCUGAUACCAGGAGCACCGUUUCUUGUACGAUCGACUGUACUUGUACAGGUUUAAACUAUGUGUCCUUCUGGUAAGGACGACCGGAUCUGCCGAUCGUUGAUUAGUCCUCGGGAUAUCAGAGAGCACAAGCUACUCUUAUGAACGAGCCUUUAAGUCGAGCAAGGACGACCUCAUCUGGAGAAUUGCUUUAUUAUCUGCAUAUGGCUGUAAGUGUAGGAUCGAAUAAUUCUACUGUAAGAAAUAAUACCUGGUGGUCGUUGAACCACAACGCCGUAAUAAGCCGUAGCUACAUACGUAACAGACCUAACUGUCUCCAUGCGAUUUCCGACGUGUGUGCAAGCCUUUAUGAAAAUUUCACACGCAUCGCUGCUUGCUAUUUCUAUACUGAAUAAUACUUUGUGAAUUUUAUCGCUGUAUCAUCUCGAGUAAUAGAGUUAGCAAUUCUCUAGAAGGCCAUACAGCGUUCUUCGGGUCCAGGUGUAAUCUGUCAGAUUCGAAAGAUAAGAAAAAUCGUCUACGCACUAUCUGGUAUAGUCAUGUGCAUCUAGAAACUCAAAGGAAAGCUGAAACCGACAGGAUGGCAGCAAGUAAUCGCGGGCAAGAAGAGUGGACGCCGAGCGAAGUUUUAGUCGCAGCAAGUUUUUCCGCCAGUUAGAAAUUCGCCUCUAUAUUAGAGAACAGCUCGAAGAAAGGCAAGGAAUGAGUGUCAAGAGGAAAAAUAUAUGGAGAACGUAUCGAUAGUGCCUGCGCGUUAUGUACCGAAGCUGCGUUUCACUCGCAAAUGGCAGAUCGAACGACGCAAAGUCCUGUUAUGUCGCGGCUGUAUGUAAAUUCAAAAGUAAUAAGGUAUUUAGCGGGGCCUACUUUUUUUCGGUACACCAUCAUGCGGAAGAUACACACGACACACGCGUAUAAAACGCCGGACGAAUUUUAAACGGUGAAAGUCUGUCAAGAUCUUCCCUGGAUAUUCGCUGUAACCAGAUAAUUCAAAGGGCCCAGACGACGUGGUCCCAAAGUCCCUUGAACCUCCCAGAUACAGUUCUUCUGGACAAAAGAAAGAAAGAAAAAGAACAAUAGACCCAGUCAAGUCAAUGAAUCGAGACUAACAGUCUUCGACAAUCAUGCACAGUCUAUGAAGAUACGGUUCAGCGAACGGAGAAGGUCUAGGCCUUAGAUUUAGCGAAUUCCGUAUAGCUCUCGUAAGUGCGACAGAGACAUACCUAUGAGCUCUUACGUGCGUAAGAGUGAGACGGACGUACUCGUUCUGUUAAAAUCCGUAACUCGAAUCACCCAUGGUUAAAUCGAAUCAUGAACAAUGGUAUCAGGACAUUGUUACCAGCUGUUGCCAAUUUUUCCUGCUAAGAAUAGUCCAAAACUUUAAAAUAAAAAUCUUGAGAGUCUCAAGGAGGACCAUCCCUCAAGGGACCAGAGAUAAAUCACUUGGUACCCUCCUAUCCAAGUGGCCCAGAGUGGCAGACAGACAACCAAGGAAACAGUCCGGAUCCAGUAUCUAACUUAUCCAGCCACUUCGGAUAUACAUAUAUAUACAGAAUAUUCCAUGGAAAACUGUUCGUGACCGAGGAAUAUGGUUGCUUAUCGCCAUGUAAAUAUCCCCAUGGACUUUUUUUUCUAUUCCGGAUGACUGUACGCUUGUAUCCGGUCUUGAAGCAAAGCGAUACCAAGUUACUGAGCGAAAAGACGUUGGUGUUACAUAGGCUGUGCGAGCGUAUACAGGGUGGGAAAUUUAUAGCGAUCAGGUCGAUUUUUUCGGAAGUGAAAUCAUUCAAUUUUGAGUCCACGAGUACAAGUGCACUUAUGACCCAAAAUUGACAGAUGAUAAGAUAUUUUAAAAGUAAGAAAAAAUAUUCGUUCUCUGCGUUACCUGGCGUCUACUAACUACUAUCCCCUCCCAUCCUUCUAGAGAAGGAAUUAGAGUCCUAGUGGGGCGCGAAAUGCGACUUUAACGUCCCUAGUCAGUUAAUGGCCCUGGUCAAAUUACGCUCUAAAGCCGCGUGCACAACGUGCUCCACGUAAACACGUAGAAAGGAUUUCAUUACCGGAAUCUCCCGUUCGCCCUAAAACCCCACAACUUUUGUCUGAAAUAAUUUGUGCUAUCUGUCUUCGUUUCCGAAAUAAUUCACCUGGUCAUUUAUAAAUGUCCCACCCCGUAUGUAGAUAUAUAUAAUAGACAUGUAUAUAGCGUAUAAACGCGCAAUGUACUUCACAGUGUUUACCGUCGUUCAUUUGCGUUUACGUACUCGGGGUGGCUGCUCCCAUAGGACUCCAGAGCCAUUCUGUUCCUAUGCACGCGUGCUCCUAUGCACAACAGUAGGUACGUGACACGCAGGUGCAUACGAGUGACGUCACAGGUACCAUUGUUUAGGAUUAUAACUACUGUGUAAAUUGUAAACUGCCUUUUUUUAUUAGAGUCAUAGAAUCCUAUGUAACUCGAGCGACGAGUGUCGAGGGAUGAAUGCUGGUUUGAAUUUUUGUAUUUAGUUUGAAACUGAUUAUCGAGUCUACCUACUAAGUGGAUACGCAUGAUCGAGCGUGGGCCUUGUGUGAAUUUUUUGGGUAAAUGAAAAAGCGAGACGUGAUAAUAGUCGAGUAUUAAAAUAUCACUGUAAAUAGGGUAUACGCGACGCGUCGUAACUUUUGUAUUAGAACCGAGUGGACCCAGAGUUAUUUUUUUUUUCAUUUCCUGGCUAUGGAUGGCUCGGAGAACUGAGAUCGAUCUGGGCCCUGGAAAGUUGUAGGUGUGACGAGGAUAGUCAGUGUAUUGGGACCUACGAAGUUUCUGGGACUCGUGUGGGCCCCGCAGUAUGUAUAGCCGGUCCGACUGCAUUUUGCGUUCCCGCACACGAGUAGGUGCGUGUUCGUUGAGGCCCAGAACGUACGAGGGUCCUGUCUUUUUUUCUUCUCUGUGUAAAUGCGUGUCUGCAUCAGGCCCAUAUGCAAAACACAUGGAAGAUAUUGGGUUACAUGGGCUUUGGCAAUUAUUUGAGCUUUUUCGUGAUUGCUUCAGGGAUUUUCUUGUUGGAUGAGUCCCAGAGUCCUUGCUCGCGAGGCCCCUCGUUCAGCG